AAAAUGAUAAGACUUGAAAACCCUUAUUACUUUUACAGUUUCCAUUUUCUUACUCCAAAAUGCUUCUCAAAAACCCUAGCGCCGGCGUUCUUAAACCGUGAACAACAAAACAAGAUCUCGUUUACUCCUCCUCCGUUCUUCAUCGUUCAAGCUCUCGUUCACCGUCAGGUCAGAACAUUGCCUUCUUAUUUCUUCCACCACGGGAUGAUGAAAUAAAUGUCUUGGUGUUUUAGGAUGGUGAAUCGGAGAAUUGAAGCACUUUGUUCAUUCUUUUUUGGUUGAUGCAUACAUAUUAAUGAAAUUAUUGAACUUUUCAAUUUUAAUUAUGCGGACUCUGUUUUCAUUUCACACAGAGCAACAGCCUUGCGUCGGGGUCGAUGACAGGGAUGGCUACAUACUAGAGAUACUAGGACUGUAUUCCAAUGGGACACAGAUUGUUGGUGGUCUUCCUCAAAAUCAUUGAUAGAGUAUGAUGUUCUGGUUUUCUAAAUGACACAUGCAACCCCAACACAUUUAGAAGUUAUAAUUUACUUGAUUGGAAAGAUGCGAUCGUCAAAACGAUGGUAGAUAAAGAUAAAAAUAAAGAAAAAGCUUACAAGACUUGUCAAUAAAAGCAUUUGAAACGGAGUCCGCCUUUUAUAUUUCUCGUAGGACCUCUUUUAAGACAUUGAAUGUUACACUGCUUUCUUUCUCAGACUAUAGAUAUAUUUUGUAAAUUUUUUUGAGUACUGAGUUAAACUUUUCAAUAUUCAUGUUAUUUUUUAUUUAAAAAUUUAGUAUUAUUGUGUUAUUUUUAUUUUGUUAAAAUAUAGUAAAAUGUUUAAUGCAUUUAAAUUUUUAUUAUUAUGAAUUAUUUUUAGAAAAGAUAGAAAAAUAUUUGAAAUGUUUGGAAGGCAAUUUUAGUUAUUUUUUUAUUUUUUAUAAAUAAAAUAUUAGAGACCGAUUUAGUUACCAUUUUGGAUGCUAUUGAAAUAUUCUAAAUUUCUUAUUAAAUGAGAAUUGGUCACAAUUUCCGUCUCAAAAAUCGGUCACUGAUACAGUCACAAGUUCGGUCGCCAAAUAUCAGUCACUGAUUCCGUCGCUAAAGGUUAGCGACUAGCACUUUUUCGACUGAAAUUUAAUGGUUGCUUUAUCGGUCACUAAAUUGAAUAGUGACCGAUUUUUAAUCUUUUUUGGUCACUAAUUCGGUCACUAAAGGCGAAGUUUCUGGUAGUGCUGGAAAAGUGGAGGAACAACCCAUUAUUUAUUUAUUUAUCAAAACAAAUGGGACAUUGUUUGUGAGAUUAAACAAAACAAGUGAAGAGUUCUAAAUAUAGGAGAGUGUGGCCUAACACUUUGCAACAUGUCAACAGUUUAAAUUCUUCUAUCAUGAUUGGAAGACUAGUGAGCAGAAUCAGUAUAUGGGAAUUAAAGUUUAUUAUGACAUAUCAUUCAGUUUCUUUCUGAAUCUAACAUCUUAAAAGUAAUUAGAACCCAAAAUUAAAACACAUUCUUUUGAUAAUUAUAGUUCAACACAACAAUUACGCAUCAAAAUAGAAAAUAAGGAACAACUCUGAAGAUAAUGAUUAUCUCAUGACGGCUGUCCAAGGAGAACGUCUCCUUACAACUGAGUAGUUCAAUUAACCUAUAUGAAUAAUCAUAAUUGCUAUCUCUACAACGUGCGCUAAAUAGAUGAUAACCGUAGUUUCCCUCACCGACUCCUGCCCUUACCUAUAUUAUAUUUUACAGGCCUAAUAAUAGUCUGCCUGUGUUAAUAUCUAUCUAUUAAGUUAAUAGAGAGAAAGUAAAAUAGGAAUUUCAUAUCUUUUCACUCCUAGAAAUACUGUUCAGCUUCUCCCUGUUUAAGUUCAACCACUAUGACAUUGUUUCUAGAAGAAAUCCUUAGUAUUUUGUUUUUGCAAAAGCAAUAGUUCAGUCACAUCAAUCUAAACAAAGCCUAAAAACGUGUCUGAACUUUGGACUAAAAUUUCUAGUCAUAAAUAUGAAAAUGUCUUGCAAUGUAGGUUUUGGCAGCAGUGUUAUUAUUCAUAAUCCCAAACAUGAAGCAAAGUGGAGAAAAACUAAUGAAUUGGAAUGAAUGCAAAAAGUUACCAUGGAACCUAAUUUUGCUACUAGGAGCUGGCUUUGCAAUAGAUGAUGGAGUAGAAUCUAGUGGUGUAGAAGAUGUAAUGUCAAAAGUCUUAGAAUUCUUAAAACAUGUUCCAUACUUAGCAAUUGUUCCUACUGUUUAACAAUAAAACUUAAACAGCAUUAAAACUUGCGUACAUUGGAAAAUAAUUCUAAUGUUUAACAACAUUAUUGUG